AGGGUUUGAUUAUGGCUCAGGAUGAACGCUGGCGGCAUGCCUAAUACAUGCAAGUCGAACGAACUACCUCUAUGACCUUGAAAGUGCUUGCACUGGAUUGUGAUUAGAAUUUGUAGUUAGUGGCGGACGGGUGAGUAACACGUGGGUUACCUGCCACACAGAAUGGAAUAACUAUUGGAAACGAUAGCUAAUACCGUAUAUGACCUUCGGGUUGAAAGGGGCGUUUGCCUCGCUGUGUGAUGGGCCUGCGGCGCAUUAGCUAGUUGGUAAGGUAAAGGCUUACCAAGGCGACGAUGCGUAGCCGGACUGAGAGGUCGAUCGGCCACAUUGGGACUGAGACACGGCCCAAACUUCUACGGGAGGCAGCAGUAGGGAAUUUUCCGCAAUGGACGAAAGUCUGACGGAGCAAUGCCGCGUGAGUGAUGAAGGUUUUCGAAUCGUAAAGCUCUGUUGUAAGGGAAGAACAGCACUAGUAGGAAAUGACUAGUGUGUGACGGUACCUUACCAGAAAGCCACGGCUAACUACGUGCCAGCAGCCGCGGUAAU
rnacentral:rRNA from 1 species